CGCAACGAAGUUGCGGAGGGUAUAAUGUUUUUGACCCGUCCGUCCGUCAGUCCGUCCGUCCGUCCGUCAGUCCUGUUUCUUGUCAUCGCAACUCCUCUCAAACCACACAACAGAAUUUCACGAAACCUUUUCAGAUAAUAAGGACAUACUAUGUAGUUGUGCAUAUCGACGGGAAAUUGCGAUUCAAUUUUUUUUCUAGAGUUACGCCCCUUUGAACUUAUUUACUUUAAUGUACUACUGCAACAGUUUGUCAUCGCAACUCCUCUCAAACCACACAACAGAAUUUCACGAAACCUUUUCAGAUAAUAAGGACAUACUAUGUAGUUGUGCAUAUCGACGGGAAAUUGCGAUUCAAUUUUUUUUUUCUAGGAGUUACGCCCCUUUGAACUUAUUUACUUUAAUGUACUACUGCAACAGUUUGUCAUCGCAACUCCUCUCAAACCACACAACAGAAUUUCACGAAACCUUUUCAGAUAAUAAGGACAUACUAUGUAGUUGUGCAUAUCGACGGAAAAUUGCGAUUCAAUUUUUUUUCUAGGAGUUACGCCCCUUUGAACUUAUUUACUUUAAUGUACUACUGCAACAGUUUGUCAUCGCAACUCCUCUCAAACCACAC
rnacentral:lncRNA from 1 species